rnacentral:lncRNA from 1 species
ACGAGGGAUGCUGCCAGCGUGCGUGUCCCUACGGAAGCUGAGACUGCACUUCCUGCGAGGCCCCUGCAGCAGCAGCGGCGUGGUCAGAGCGAGCUUCGGAGAAGCAGUGGUGGGUUCCAUGUGAUGGUGGAGUAGGAGGCAGGUCUCCGCGUCUCGCUGUAUUGCCCAGGCUGGAGUGCAGUGGCAUGAUCUCAGCUCACUGCAAGCUCUGCUUCCUGGGUUCACGCCAUUCUCCUGCCUCAGCCUCCUGAGUAGCUGGGAUUACAGGCACCCGCCACCACGCCCAGGAAACUCCAAACUGUCCAAGGAGAUAGUUCUGUUGUGAUUACUUCAUUGAGAAAUUUAACUUAUGAGCCGUUGAAAGGAAUGCAAGUUGCUGCAAAAUCCGAAUGAAGAGUGCAAAACGACUAAGCUACAAUGUUUUGUCAUUAUUCACUCUGAUGUGAAAAAGGCAGUGAAUUUAAUAGAAAAUAACUUCGUAGAGCAAAAUCUCAGGUGUGUUUUUUUAGUGCCGCAGUCUUGGAUGAUGGGUUCCUAGAAGCUCUCAACAUCUCUUCUUAAUUGGAGAAAGUGUUAAGCCCCAAAGUAGCUGGAGCAGUACAUCUUCAAUUUUUGACAAGAAAGCAGGAACUUGAUUACUUUGAGUGCUAUUCAUUAGUUUCUGCUUUCAUUGAGAAUGCAACAAAAGCCAACUAGGCUGCUGCUAACUCCUUGCUGGACUUCUUCUGCCACUGUCACAGGAACUGUAAUCUCACUGGACAAUUAACUAGGGAGUCUUUCAUCUUGAGUGACUGCUGCACAAAUGAUCUUCAAAGCAUUUUAGCCACCAGAGGAAUUCUCUUGAAAUACCCAAAAUCCAUCAGUAUCUUGAAUCAUGCUGGAUUUUGAAGAAUUCUUAACAAGCCAUGUAAAGGGGGCUCUCUGGCCUUGAAAUAGUGAUGUUUUUUAUACAGAAAGGAGAAUGCAGAAUGGUCAGACUACCAUGCACUGUUAAAUUUGAUUUCAAGAAAUUACAGGAAAACUUUCCAAAGUUCCAUCUCACAGAAAUUAUUUUUACAAAGAAUUCCAAGAUAAGUUUAGUUUUAUGGAAGACUUUUAUGUGGUUUUUACUCACUCUUCAUCUCAGACAUCAACAGAUGAUUACAUCACUUAUUUAGCUAGUAAAUUUAUUAAUAUAAAAACUCAGAGACAUUCCAAUAUCCACAUUGCUUACACCAUUAGGCAUAGAUUCAGUGUCAGCUAUGACAAUUGAAAAUAAGCUGUUUUGUGAUUUAAAGGUUUAAAUUUCUCUAACCAAACUGCUUGAUCCAGAUGCAGGACUGCAAAUGUUAAUAUUUGUUCUGGAAGAACAAUCAAAUAAGACUUAAGAGGAAAAGGAAUGGCCACAAUCCACCUGAAAUUUUUUUUUAAAAAGUGUGCAGCCUACUAAAUCAGAAUGAAAAUAGAAGUACAAGAUUAUAAACAAAAUGCAAUCAAACUUUUCUUAAGCUUACCUAAAGUUAUUUCAUCUGAAAAUUUCAAGCAACUUUGUUCAACAUUAAAUUGACAAUCUAAACUAACAAGUCUUUUGAAUUUAUGCAUGGUAGUAAACAUUCUCUCUAUUAACUGUAUUACCUAAGGCUAAACCUAAAAUUUUUAAGCAAAAUUAGAAAAAUAGUCUUCACUCAUCAAAAAAUAAAGUUUGUUACAUUUAGUAUUUUCCCAAUAAAA